CUCUGGGUUCUCCUUUCUCAGUACCCCUUUCCAUCUCUGGAGGCUCCUCAACAGGUGUCAGAAUCGUUUCUGCCUGAAGCAGCCCCUCCCAGUUCACAGGAGUUUCCUGAUCGCACUUAUACCUUUGCAGCUGCAAUGGGCACCCUAUCGCUGCUUAGUCCCAACCGACUCCUGGAGGCUAAAAGUCACAGGUCCCCUUCUCACACCCCUAUCACCUGAAAAGUGAAUCCUCCUACUGUUGGAAACUCCCUUGUCCACAGUCUGCCCCCCUACUUUUGCCACUCCUUUCCCCAGUCCUCUCCUGUCUCUCUUCCCUGUUCUUUGACAAGUCUCUCUGGCUGGACCCCAGGCUUCUCCUUCCUCAUCGGCAGUCCCCACACCCCUACCGGCCUCAGCUGUCUCUACAGUGAUGCCCACAUCUGCCCCCAGCCUCCCCUGGCAUGUCCAAGGGGCCUACACUGGCCUCUGCAUCAUCCUCCAAACCUGCUCCCAUCAUUCUGGCUCCUUCUCCCUGGAAACGUCGUGAGCCCUCAGGGGUGCUCACAAACACCACACUUCUAUUACCCUGGACUCCUUCCUUUCUCACAGGUCAUCUCCCUACUCCCCACCCCCAGCCCACUUGGCAAGAUAAACACACACAGCUCCCUGAACUCAUUCCAACCAGUUCUUGUUUCACUGGAAAGGCCAGGCGCUCUCUCUUAACUUCAAGGACUUUGCUCCUUGAAAAGCAGGGCCUUGACACCUACUUUCUCCUCUUUGCCCCAUGAAAUCAUCCUCUUAAGUCUCAGUUCACACACUUUCUCCUCCAGGAGACAGAUAGCCACCUUUUCCCUUCCCAGCCCUUAUCACUGUAGUCUAGCCCACCAGGGCCACCAUCCCGGCCAGGGUUCACCAUCAGUCCUGAUCCGUCUGGCUUGAGUGCCCCUAUUCAGUCCCUGAACCCCAUGAAAGCUGGGACUACUUCACAGACAGAUGGCCACCAGUAGGAGGCCUGGACCAGAUCCCUGCUCAGCAGAUAGGUUGAAUAGUCAUUUCUGCAACCUUCCCUCUAUGUGCUCAGGGCCAGGUGGGGCAUGGGAGGGGGAUACGGGAGAAAGCAAUGCCCUUAUAUAUCCAUGUAUGUGGUUUUGGGGAGCCCCCCAUCCACUCCCUUUUCAUAUCAAACUCAUGGUGACCUCUCACUCACCUCC
ensembl:lncRNA